UACGUGGGGUGCAAGCGUUGUUCGGAAUUACUGGGCGUAAAGCGCGUGUAGGCGGCGCACUAAGUUUGAUGUGAAAGCCCUGGGCUCAACCCAGGAACUGCAUUGAAAACUGGUGUGCUUGAGUCCGGGAGAGGGUCGCGGAAUUCCUGGUGUAGAGGUGAAAUUCGUAGAUAUCAGGAGGAACACCGGUGGCGAAGGCGGCGACCUGGACCGGUACUGACGCUGAGACGCGAAAGCGUGGGGAGCGAACAGG
rnacentral:rRNA from 1 species